CAUGGAUUGUAUAUGUGUGCCAUUCAGCGGAUGACUGACAAGAUGGCGCUGAUAGACCUGGACACCCUGUUCUUGGCUCCUAAUCAACUUCGCAAUGACAUCUGCUACAUACAGUGCAUUCAGAAAGAGUUCAGACCCCUUGACUUUUUCCACAUUUUGUUACGUUACUUUAUUGAACCACAUUUGGCAGCGAUUACAGCCUUGAGUCUUCUUGGGUAUGAUGCCACAAUAUUGGCACACCUCUAUUUGAGGAGUGUCUUCCAUUCUUCUCUGCAGAUCAUUUCAAGUUCUGUCAGGUUGGACGGGGAACGUUGCUGCACAGCUAUUUUCAGGUUUCUCCAGCGAUGUUCAAUCGGGUUCAAGUCCCGAAGCCACUCCUGCGUUGUCUUGGCUGUGUGUUAGGUUUGUUGUCCUGUUGGAAGAUGAACCUUCGACCCAGUCUGAGGUCCUGAGCGCUCUGGAGCAGGUUUUCGUCAAGGAUCUCGCUGUACUUUGUUCCGUUCAUCUUUCCCUCGAUCCUAACUAGUCUCGCAGUCCCUUCCUCGUGAGGAAGGUGAGGAAUCAGCCCAGAACUACACGGCAGGACCUGGUCAAUGACCUGAAGAGAGCUGGGACCACAGUCUCAAAGAAAACCAUUAGUAACACACUACGCCGUCAUGGAUCAAAAUCCUGCAGCACACGCAAGGUCCCCCUGCUCAAGCUAGCGCAUGUCCAGGCCCGUCUGAAGUUUGCCAAUGACCAUCUGGAUGAUCCAGAGGAGGAAUGGGAGAAGGUCAUGUGGUCUGAUGAGACAAAAAUAGAGCUUUUUGGUCUAAACUCCACUCGCCGUGUUUGGAGGACGAAGAAGGAUGAGUACAACCCCUAAGAAUACCAUCCCAACUGUGAAGCAUGGAGGUGGAAACAUCAUUCUUUGGGGAUGAUUUUCUGCAAAGGGGACAGGAAGACUGCACCAUGUUGAGGGGCCAUGUAUCGCGAGAUCUUGGCCAACAACCUCCUUCCCUCAGUAAGAGCAUUGAAGAUGGGUCGUGGCUGAGUCUUCCAGCAUGACAACGACCCGAAACACACAGCCAGGGCAACUAAGGAGUGGCUCCGUAAGAAGCAUCUCAAGGUCCUGGAGUGGCCUAGCCAGUCUCCAGACCUGAACCCAAUAGAAAAUCUUUGGAGGGAGCUGAAAGUCCGUAUUGCCCAGCGACAGCCCCGAAACCUGAAGGAUCUGGAGUAGGUCUGUAUGGAGGAGUGGGCCAAAAUCCCUGCUGCAGUGUGUGCAACCCUGGUCAAGAACUACAGGAAACGUAUGAUCUCUGUAAUUGCAAACAGAGGUUUCUGUACCAAAUAUUAAGUUCUGCUUUUCUGAUGUAUCAAAUACUUAUGUCAUGCAAUAAAAUGCAAAUUAAUUACUUAAAAAUCAUACAAUGUGAUUUUCAGGAUUUUUUUUGAAGUGUACCUAUGAUAAAAAUUACAGACCUCUACAUGCUUUGUAAGUAGGAAAACCUGCAAAAUCGGCAGUGUAUCAAAUACUUGUUCUCCCCACUGUAUAUGCGACCUUAAAAAAUGUAUUUGAUUUGAAGACAAAAUAUUUAAGUGCCUUUGAACGGGGUAUGGUAGUUGGUGCCAGACAUGCCAGUUGAGUGUCAAGAACUGCAACGCUGCUGGGUUUUUCACGACAUCCAGCCAACUUGACACAACCGUGGGUAGAAUUGGAGUCAAUAUGGGCCAGCAUCCCUAUGGAAUGCUUUGGACACCUUGUAGAAAAGAUGUGUACAGCAGUAGUUAUAUUGGAUAAGCCAUGACUAGAAUACAGUAUAUACAUCUAAAGUGGGUAAAACAGUAUGUAAACAUUAUAGAAGUGACCAGUGUUCAAUGACUCUAUGUACAUAGGGCAGCAGUCUAAGGUGCAGGGUAGAGUACUGGGUGGUAGCCGGCUAGAAACAGUGACUAUAGUUCAGGGCAGGGUACUGGGGGAGGCUAGUUACAGUCACUAAGGUUCAGGGCAGGGUACUGGGGAAAGCUAGUAACAGCGACUAAGGUUCAUAGUAGGGUACUGGGGGGAGGCUAGUAACAUUGACUAAGGUUCAGGGCAGGGUACUGGGAGAGGCUAGCUACAGUGACUAAGGUCCAGGGCAGGGUACUGGGGAAGGCUAGUAACAGUGACUAAGGUUCAGGGCAGGGUACUGGGGGGAGGCUAGUAACAGUGACUAAGGUCCAGGGCAGGGUACUGGGCGAAGGCUGGCUGGUGGUGACUGUUUAAUAGUCUGAUGGCCUGAAGAUAGAAGCUGUUUGUCAGUCUCUCGGUACCAGCUUUGAUGCACCUGUACGGUCUCUUCCUUCUAGAUGAUAGCGACGUGAACAGGCAGUGGCUCGGGUGGCUGAGGUCCUUCAUUAUUAUCUAAAAGGCCAAACUGAUCCUAGAUCAGCACUCACUACUAAUCUGAGAUGCAUUAUGUCUCUGCAUUAUUAUCUAAAAAGCCAAACCGAUCCUAUAUCAGCACUCACUAUUAAUCUGAGAUGCACUGUGUCUCUGCAGUGUUUACCCAGGGUAGACACCGGUUUUAAACUGUCAUUUUGUUACAGGGGGUUGAUACUUUAACCCUAGUGUUUUCUAGAGCUGUGGUCCAAGGCCUUAACGUACAUUCCUCUACUAACACCCUGCAUCAAUGUUCAUUGAGAAAGUUUCACUAAACCAAUCACAGGUUUCUCAUGUUCUGACCUCACCUGGCCAACCUUCCAAUGGGAGGAAAAUAAUGAACGGUGUUUGCUGACUCAGAGCUUUUUAUGAUCAAUUUCACAAUAAUUUGUU